GAUGAACGCUGGCGGCGUGCUUAACACAUGCAAGUCGAACGAUGAAGCCCAGCUUGCUGGGUGGAUUAGUGGCGAACGGGUGAGUAACACGUGAGUAACCUGCCCUUGACUCUGGGAUAAGCCUGGGAAGCUGGGUCUAAUACUGGAUAUGACUUCUCAUCGCAUGGUGGGGGGUGGAAAGAUUUAUUGGUCUUGGAUGGACUCGCGGCCUAUCAGCUUUUUGGUGGGGUAAUGGCUCACCAAGGCGACGACGGGUAGCCGGCCUGAGAGGGUGACCGGCCACACUGGGACUGAGAGACGGCCCAGACUCCUACGGGAGGCAGCAGUGGGGAAUAUUGCACAAUGGGCGCAAGCCUGAUGCAGCGACGCCGCGUGAGGGAUGACGGCUUUCGGGUUGUAAACCUCUUUCAGUAGGGAAGAAGCGAGAGUGACGGUACCUGCAGAAGAAGCGCCGGCUAACUACGUG
rnacentral:rRNA from 1 species